AUUGAACGCUGGCGGUAUGCUUAACACAUGCAAGUCGAACGGUAACAGCAGAAGCUUGCUUCUGGCUGACGAGUGGCGGACGGGUGAGUAACGCGUGGGAAUCUGCCUUAUAGUGGGGGAUAGCCCGGAGAAAUCCGGAUUAAUACCGCAUACGCCCUACGGGGGAAAGCUGGGGAUCUUCGGACCUGGCGCUAUUAGAUGAGCCCGCGUUAGAUUAGCUAGUUGGUGGGGUAAAGGCCUACCAAGGCAACGAUCUAUAGCUGGUCUGAGAGGACGAUCAGCCACACUGGGACUGAGACACGGCCCAG
rnacentral:rRNA from 1 species